AAGCCCGUCUGUACACAUAAAAGUCGCGUCAUUUCUCCGUCCUUCGGUGCCCGCGAAUAAGUAAUAUCCACUCUUUUAUCUCCUUCCAUGUCGAUCGGAAUAGACGCUGUGGGAUUUUCGCAACACGUUUCCUCCUCUGAAUUUAAAAGAUCGAUCUCUAAAUGGGCUGAUUUUUAAGGGGGAUGCGAUUGUUCUUGUUUUCAUUAAAUUGAUCGGAGAGGUUUGUCAAUAUCCUGGGUUGAUCCGAUUUUGUCUAUUCUUUUGCAACUGCUCGUUUUGGUUAGUCUUUUAGAUCUUUCAGUCAAGCGCUUCAAAGAGCAUCGACCAUGCCUUCGGUGCUCGGAGAGUUCUUCCACCGGCGUGAAGAGAUGAUUCCUUCGGUGACCUCUUUUCAUGGUGGUCCAUGUUCACAUCGUCUGAAACAGUUUGAAAAAUGGAACCGUCGUGUUAAUUUCAGUUAACGUUUGGAUAAGAACGGCUAUCACAUUAUCCUCUUCCUCUUUUCUUACCGUCUGAACGAGACAAAGGAAUUAUAGAUCAUACUAUAAACCGGUUAUUGAAUAAUCUCACUCCGUUUCUUCUUUAAACCGGUUGAACCAGUAUAAUCCUCCAAGGGAGUUGGCAAUACUUGUUAAAUUGCAGUUUGAGUGGAUUCAGUCAUUUUUCUAAGGUCGUGGAUCGUGGUGCUUCUGGCUUUCGUUAUAGAAGAGACCUCUUUUCUUUCAAAUCUAGAGUGCUAUCUCUGUAGCACCUGGUAUUAUCAACGGACGGUCAAGUCUUAACCAGUGGCACUGUAAUCGAAUGGGAGAUAGUUCAGUAGUAGAACUUGAAAGUGCACUUAAUGAGGUCUUAGAUAUUCAUGAUGAUCAAGAAUUGGUAUCAGGCUGUUUUCCACCUUCAGGUGGGGAUGAGAUAUACCAAUCAGAUGACAAAAUGUCGGGGGAGUUGAAAAUUCAUCAGCCUAAUUCAUUGGUUUCAACUACUCAGAAAGGCUUGACAAAAAGUAUGACAUUUCCAUGUUCUGGAAUAACAUGUUCUGCAUAUAUGGAUGGGAGAGAGGAGAUAACUGGUGCAACAUUGCAUGGCCAUACUGAACCUUGGAAUCCAGCCUGCACUCGCUCAUUAUCUCUGCCUGGCGCCUUGAAAAACUGGUUGGUUUGGCUUCCUAGUUCUUAUGUGAAAAAUUGACUGGGUGAAAACCACCCAUGAUAUCCAUGCAGUUCUUGGCUAUUUUGGAACAGACCGCCAAACUUUGCUCCCAAUUCCCAAGUGGGAGGUCAUUAGCCCUGAGGUUUUAUAGUUACUUUGAUAUGUUGUUAACAGUUUCUACCUUUCCUUGUUUAUAUGCCUAGCUCUCUCAGACAUCUUUGAAGCUUGUGUCUGCAAUGAAAGGUAGCCGUGAAAAGCAGGGUAUAGCUUUGAAGAAGUUGAAUGUGACAUGGGCUUCUGAUGUGUUUGAUCCACCUGCUACGUCCCUGUCGCGCACCACCGUGAAGAGCCACAUCCACCAUCAUUCCAGAGGGAAUAAGAAAAAUGGAAAAGGCAAGCACAAACACAAGGGCAAAUCUUCCCGAGGUAGCGAUGGUGAGAAGAAACAAUAUCGAAAAGUUGUCACGGACACGCAUUGCAAGCCGCCGGUUGGUGAAAGGUUGCUCUUAGGCGGUUUUUGUCAGUCGAGUGUCGAACUUGUGGACUUGGCGGUCACUGGUCAGGAAUCCAAGUGCGGCAGUAGCUUCCUGAGGACGUCAUUGGCCAAGCAGCAUUAUCUCGGUUGCGGAGGCUACAUAAACAUAAUUUCCCUUCCCUAUAGUUUGCCUCACGGGCAUUCAGUGUGAAUGUCUGUAUGUCGUACUUUCUGAGUUUCUUCUUAUGGUCCGAUCUUGUUGAACGGCUAAAGGGAUGGACACCAUUUGUCAUGAGCGUUUCGGCUUAAAAAAUAAAAACCCAUUUGUCAGCUCAAACGACUGGGAUUUCUAGCUAUGUCUGUUUUGGUGUCCUUGUACAGGAAUGGACACCACCAUCCUGAAUGUGUAAAGGUGGAUAUCCAGUCU